GUGGGGAAUUUUGGACAAUGGGCGCAAGCCUGAUCCAGCAAUGCCGCGUGCAGGAAGAAGGCCUUCGGGUUGUAAACUGCUUUUGUACGGAACGAAACGGUCCGGGUUAAUACCCUGGGCUAAUGACGGUACCGUAAGAAUAAGCACCGGCUAACUACGUGCCAGCAGCCGCGGUAAUACGUAGGGUGCAAGCGUUAAUCGGAAUUACUGGGCGUAAAGCGGGCGCAGGCGGUUUUGUAAGACAGGCGUGAAAUCCCCGGGCUCAACCUGGGAAUUGCGCUUGUGACUGCAAGGCUGGAGUGCGGCAGAGGGGGAUGGAAUUCCGCGUGUAGCAGUGAAAUGCGUAGAUAUGCGGAGGAACACCGAUGGCGAAGGCAAUCCCCUGGGCCUGCACUGACGCUCAUGCACGAAAGCGUGGGGAGCAAACAGGAUUAGAUACCCUGGUAGUCC
rnacentral:rRNA from 1 species